UACGAAGGGGGCGAGCGUUGUUCGGAGUUACUGGGCGUAAAGGGCGCGUAGGCGGCGCUCCAAGUUAGGCGUGAAAGCCCCGGGCUUAACCUGGGAAUUGCGCUUAAGACUGGACUGCUUGAGUGCGGGAGAGGUGAGUGGAAUUCCCAGUGUAGAGGUGAAAUUCGUAGAUAUUGGGAAGAACACCAGUGGCGAAGGCGGCUCACUGGCCCGCAACUGACGCUGAGGCGCGAAAGCGUGGGGAGCAAACAGG
rnacentral:rRNA from 1 species